CAGGUUGGCAACACCGUGAAGUCGUGGUGGUGUUGGUGGGAGAGAUGGAGGUUCUUCCGUAAAUACGACUACAACUUCAGCAGUAUGGUUUAACUUCUCGUUUCAGUAUUUGCGAAACGAGAUUGGCCGCGUACAAAUAUAAUCAAAUUUGUCAUAGUCGGGCAGUUAAAAGCAAGUUGCAAGACAAAGAACGGGUUAGAGUACAAGCAGGUAUCAAAAGAAGGUAGCUGUACAACAGGUGGUUCAUCUUGGGUGCAAUAGAAGCCUUCUGAUGGAAAAUUACAUGGCCUUGGAGGACAAAUUCAACAUUAACAACGAUAUGAUAAUUCAUGAAUCGCACAUAGAUUCUAAAUCUAAGAGCUUUUGGUGGCAGGAUCUCGCCCCCGGGACAGGUAACUUGCCUCUCGUCCAGGGAAUUCAAGCCUACAGUUGAGAGUCGAGGUCAGCCCCAGCAUUAGAUGUCGUAACUAAUGUGGUUACAGUUAUUUGCCACCCCCGUAACCACCUCAUUGUUCAUUCACAGCGAAAAUGUUAGUCUACAAACAACAAGUCAGUACAUGCAUCAAACAAUUCGAUAACUUCCACAUAUUUAAACGAAUUACCAAAAUUUAUAAUUUUAACUUGGUUAAGACCAUGUAACCAUAAACAUAACAUAAAUUGAGAUUUGAAAACAACAAAGGUUAACGGUAUUUUCCAUACGCCUGAUGCAUCGAUUGCAUGACAAUUUCAAAAACAAAGAUCAAAAUAUAUAGCUACACAAAAAUGUGUGCAUUAGCAUAGUAUAUAGAGGGUGGAAACUCUCCGUUUUAAAAAUUUUGGACCUUGGUAAGUUAAUGUUGCCAUGUUAAAUCCCGUAUACUUACUUUUCCCACAUUGUUUUGAUUGUGACCCUAAUUUAAUGUUCUAAAAGCAUUUUCGAUCCUAAACACUUUUCCGCACAAUGUACAAAGUCGUCUAUUUCUUUGUA